ensembl:lncRNA
CCCUGCGUCCCACACGUCGUGACCGUGCAUUUCCCCCGCCUCUUUGCGCAUCUGCUCUUCCAAGUGCUCUCCGGCACACUGCAUAUGCCAGAGGCGGUCCAAACCUUCUGGAAGGGGUGCCAGCAGCAACACGGCCUUGCCACCAACCCCAACAGCUUUGCAGUGCAGACCCUGAAGGCCCUGCUCUGCCAACUGCACUAUAAGGAUGUGGUGGUGGCACUGGAAGACAAGCGUGCCUGGGACACGCUGCUCUGUGCUGACACCCAGCACUGUGCUGUAGGCGUGCUGGCCAGAGAAAUGUGCCAUGAAUCCGUAGCCUUGUGUUCCGAGAUUGCCUCCUCCCUGCUCGGGCUGCUCAGCAAAGACACGCCAUGCUGGGAUUUGGCCACCAUGGCGUUCCUUGUGGAGAUUCUCCAGUGCCUGGCCUGCAGUGAAUGGCACGAGCGCGCCCUGGACAUCAUGUCAAAGAACCUGCAGAGCGAGUGCAGGGAGAGGCAUCGCCUGGCACUCCGAGGCCUCGUGCUGCUCGGCAAGAACGUCUCCAUGGCCAUACGAAUGUGGGGCCUGCACGCAAGGCUGGUGGAGCUCCUGCGGGAAAAGGACAGCGACGUGGUUAGGAUGAGCAUCGUUCUCCUCAGCUCUCUGUUCCCGUACAACGGCACCACAAUAUCAACCCCCCUCGCCCUGCAGCUGGCUGACAUGCUUCUUCCGCUCUUUGACAACGAUGACAGCCAGGUGCAGUUGAGCUCCAUGUUCAUCUUCCGAGAGCUGACGGUUUUUUCAGCCGAAAGGAUCCAAACAGCCCUGAAGUCCCACGUGCGCCAGAGCCUGCUCCCACUCUCCUUCCACUGCCACGACGAGAACCAGCGCGUGGCUGAGGACUCCCGGGCAACGCUGCGUUCUUCAGCCAGGUACCUGCAGAGGAAGGAUCUCCAAGAGAUGCUGCAGGAGGAGCAGACCUGGAGUUCUGGCGUGCACCUGGUAAGGACGGCCCGGAAGCCUCGGCCUCGGGCUGCAGAAGCCGCCUGAGCGCGCUGCUCAGUGUGUGCGGCUGGCAGCCGCGGCCCUGCCCAGCGCUGCGGCCACACGCUGCUCCCUUCCCCGGGCCCCGCGGGCGCCACGCGGGCUCUCCCCCCCCCCCCCCCCCCCCCCCCCCCCCCCCCCCCCCCCCCGGAUGUCAGUGCCAAGUUAAGGUUCAGAGACCAAUGCAGCUUCAAGUCUCUGCUCCACGAGAGCAGCUUUGGGCUCCUUGAGCAGAGCUGGAAAGGAGCAGGAGAGCUCGUGGUGAAGGUCUGACAGCUCCUGCCUGGUCCUUGAGCAGCUCUCAGCGUAGUUCUGCCAGUGCUGUCAGUCCCAGGCCAGCUGUGACUGCAGCAGGGACACCUGGAAGACACACAAGGCCCGGCUCAGACAAGCCUGAUGCCUUAAGUUCUGAGUUUCCUGUUCUGCUUGGAUAUGCUUUUCUGUUGUGCUUAGGGUGCCAAAGACAAAAUAGUCCGAUUGCAGCUAUUGACUCAAGGACAGUUUCUUCAAACUCAAGGCCCUAAGAAUGAACAACGUGAAAGGAGGGCGGAUGAAACCUUACAAUUUGAGACUAUUAAUUGGAUGGUUGACUCCUGUAUGCAAGUACACUAAAGUCUAUAAAGAUGUGAGAUCAUGUGCCCAAGCCCUCUUUUGCUUCCAUCUUGGAGCCAUCCAGGCAGGAGUCACUGUGGCUCUGGUACUGCCAGGGUGUGACCUUUGCAGGCCUCUCAAUAAAUACCCGUUUUAUUCCCCUUAACUCUGUGUAGUCUCUGUUCCAGCUCCUCUGGGCAUCAAGCCCACGCUGGCAGCAGCAUCCGCAGCCCCACGGUACCGGCUGUCGGGGCAGACACAGCCUCCAACUCCACCCUCACCAACACUCUGCCCCUGGGGAGGCGAAAGGAACAGGCUCCCAGAGUGCCCCUGAACAGAGCUCAGAUGGUCAACAAGUCCAGUUCAUGACAGGAGAGCCCUUCCCACGUACAUCCCUCAGCCACCAGAGCUCUAUUAGAGAGAGUUCUGACAGCAUUUAGGAACCCAGCUCAGAUUUCCAAAGCACACAUUUAGGCCACUGUCCCCUUUCUCCAAAGGCUGUGCAUCAGCAGGAGGGCUGCUGCUCCUCUGAGCUGCUGGAGGACUCUUCAUCUUGAGCUGCAGGACAGCCAGCCCAGGCGUGAGGGGAAUUUGAGGGUUGCAGUUUUUUGGUGCUUUCUUGAGGCGUUUUAGCACCCCAAGCCCUAUUUUACACCUCUCCAUUUUUAAAUUACACAUUAACUAUGGCUUCAAUCCAUUAAUAUUUAUUCAUCUUUAUUAUGCUUCUAUUCAAUUUUACUUAAUUUCGAGGGAUUCUUAAAGGGGUUUAGGGCAAUAGUGCCCGGUAGCUUCGGGCUGAUCCCCUUGCUCCCGGGUCCCUCGUGGCCAUGGCCAGAACCGCCUGGCAUGGCGCCGGCGUGGGGAUCCCCUCGGGUCCCCGCAGCUGCGGGAUCUGACCGUGGCUCUAUUCUUCUCUCUUGCAGCCCUUGAAGACAAGGCAGAGGACGUGAGCCCUGCCAUCAGAAGCCAGGCUCUCGAAACUGCCUUUCUCCUGCGGGCGGUAGAGAGAGCUUCGGGCUCCAUCUUGCAGAAGCUGCACCAUCGCUUCCGCGGGGCACGCAGCAAACGGCCUUGUCUGUGGGGCCGUGGCCGGCUCUGCUGCUGGAGCUCUGAGGAGAGCUGAGCGGAGAGGCUCUCCGCCAGCUGGGGCCACCUGAGCCAGCGGGCUUUUUCUUUUCUUCAAGAUUGCUUUUUCCUUCUCUUUCGUUCUUCUUUACGAUGUAAAUAUAGAAUGUGUUCUAAUAGCCAGACUCCCAGGAGCUUUCUUUUAGUGCCCAGUGUCCGCAGGAGACAGGGGAAGAGGGGACUCGUGGUUGGCAAGCUGCCCAGGCGUGCAGUGGGGAAGGGAAGAUGGCCAGAAGCCCCUUGGCCUUUGGUGCUUCUGCUGCAGCCUUAACGCUGCCGAGCGAGCGGCUGGGCAGGGGCCGGAGCUGCUGCGAGAGCGGCGCCUGGAGAUGGCCACGAGGCCUCUCCCAGCCCGAAGCGCCACCUGUGUCCUGCUGCCCGAGUGCUGCUGGCUGCGUUGCUGAGGGCUCCGAGGUGCCUCUGGAUGCGGCUCCUGCGGAGCUGCUUCGGGGCCGCGCCGCUGCCGGGCAGGUUGGCGGGGCCGGGGGAGUCCCUGAGGGGACGGGGCGGUGGGAGGCCACGAAGGGAUGAGGUGCUGCAGAGGCCCUGACGCGACAAGGCCGUGGGAAGGCACGAGGGCCGCGUGGGUGGGAGAGAGUGGGUGGCAGGAGCUUCCAAGGGACAGGAGGCCCCUGAGGGGCCCGGCUGCUGGGAAGCCCUGAGCAAUUGGGUGUCAGAGGCCAGAAGCAGCCCCCAGGCAGCGGCCUUGUUCCUGCCCCCUGGCUGCUCUAAGGCUUCCCCAGAGAGUCUGCCGUGCCUGUGGCUGAAGGCCUCGAGGCUGGGCCUCAGCAGGAGGCUGGGGGCACCCCCGAGGGGCCCAGGCCAGGCUGGCUGGGGACAAGGAGGCCAAGGGGGCCCUGCCAGGGCACGGUCACCGGGGGCUGCCAGGGCAGUGGGCAGAGGCAGGGCUGGUGGUCAGCCUGGGCCCCCACAGCUGCCCAGGGCACAGAGCUGAGACCAAGGCGCCCCCGACACAGAGCUCUUGGCCCCCAGAGCUUCUGCCUCCAUGGGGAGGGUGGCCAUGUCUCCUCCAGCAGGGCUGCCGAGUCGCUGCUGCCCCAGGGGGCUGCCAGGGCAGUGGGCAGAGGCAGGGCUGGCGGCCACGGAGCUGAGACCGAGGCGCCCCUGACACAGAGCUCUGGGCCCGCAGAGCUUCUGCCUCCAUGGGGAGGGUGGCCAUGUCUCCUCCAGCAGGGCUGCCGAGUCGCUGCUGCCCCAGCGCCUCUGGGCGCCACACAAACAGCACCAGAGCCAGCACAGGAACAGCAGCACCCCGAACGCCGGCACCUGCUCCACGAGGCAUCCGCACAGGCCGC